rnacentral:rRNA from 1 species
AGUGAGCGCUGGCGGUAGGCCUAACACAUGCAAGUCGAACGGCAGCACAGUAAGAGCUUGCUCUUACGGGUGGCGAGUGGCGGACGGGUGAGGAGUACAUCGGAAUCUACUUUUUCGUGGGGGAUAACGUAGGGAAACUUACGCUAAUACCGCAUACGACCUACGGGUGAAAGCAGGGGAUCUUCGGACCUUGCGCGAUUGAAUGAGCCGAUGUCGGAUUAGCUAGUUGGCGGGGUAAAGGCCCACCAAGGCGACGAUCCGUAGCUGGUCUGAGAGGAUGAUCAGCCACACUGGAACUGAGACACGGUCCAGACUCCUACGGGAGGCAGCAGUGGGGAAUAUUGGACAAUGGGCGCAAGCCUGAUCCAGCCAUACCGCGUGGGUGAAGAAGGCCUUCGGGUUGUAAAGCCCUUUUGUUGGGAAAGAAAAGCAGCAGGUUAAUACCCCGCUGUUCUGACGGUACCCAAAGAAUAAGCACCGGCUAACUUCGUG